rnacentral:lncRNA from 1 species
CGGCCGGGGUCUCCUGCCUCGCAGCUGGGCGAGGGGACUUGGAGGACAGGGUGAAGCUGCAGAAGACCUGGGGUGGGAUGGCUAGAGAGGACGCCAAGGACUGGGGAAGGGGAAGUUAGGAAUACCUUACAUCCAAUGCCCACCCGUGCUCCGCAGGGCAAGGGCAGCCGUCGCCUCGGCCGCGUGCACCCAGCUCAGGCUGUUCCCAGGGAUUUAGUCUGGGGGGACAACCCAUGGCGAGAUGUGGUGGCAUUUUACCUCAGAGUGGAGCUGAAGAUGGAUAAACAAGGUAUCUGAUGUAUCUGCCUGAGAAGGCAGAGCUGGAGAAAGGCGGAGCGAGGGAGCGCGUGAAAAGAAAGAGAUGCCGAAUGCCGGGUGAUUGUCUGCCGCUUGCUGUGCAUUCUCAUUCUAGGGAGGAUGGCAUAAUUUAUAACCCAGCACAUGGAUAGAGGAACUGUAAAUUGUAGUCUGGAUGUCCCCGGCGCUGUCGACGAAGGAACUGAUGGGCUAGGUGACUGUACCAGUGUCCCCAGAGAAAAUCGCAGCCUCGCAGCAUGGAUUUAAAUGCAUGUGCAUGCAUGUAGAGACAUGAAAAAAGGCUCACAGGCAGAAGGAAUUUUCCUUGUCUUGGAUGAGACUUUUGACUUGGACUUUUGGGUUAAGUUCUGGAGACCAGAAGGCCAAAAUCAAAAGUAUGGGCAGGCUUGAUUUCUUUAGAAGACUCCAGCGGAGAACUGUGUCUCCUUGCUUCUGGGCACCGAGGAAGAGAACCAAUGGCAGAGGCCACAUGUGCAAGCAAGAUGGGAGUCUGGAGAGCCUCAGGCUAAAUCACGAGUGCUCAGCCCUCUCCUCUUUGUAAGGGCAACCGGGUCAUAUCUGCCAGCAUAGAACUGCUCUGUCCACAGCCCUAAAAUCUAAUACCUAGAACAAUAAAUGCACUUAAGCACGUCAAACUCUCUCAACCAGUGAUGAAAUCUGUCAC